rnacentral:rRNA from 1 species
GAUGAACGCUAGCUACAGGCUUAACACAUGCAAGUCGAGGGGCAGCAUAUUUAUAGCAAUAUAAAUGAUGGCGACCGGCGCACGGGUGAGUAACACGUAUCCAACCUGCCGUUUACUCGGGGAUAGCCUUUCGAAAGAAAGAUUAAUACCCGAUGGUAUAUAUUGAUUUCAUGGUCUUCAUAUUAAAGAAUUUCGGUAAACGAUGGGGAUGCGUUCCAUUAGGCAGUUGGCGGGGUAACGGCCCACCAAACCUACGAUGGAUAGGGGUUCUGAGAGGAAGGUCCCCCACAUUGGAACUGAGACACGGUCCAAACUCCUACGGGAGGCAGCAGUGAGGAAUAUUGGUCAAUGGGCGUAGGCCUGAACCAGCCAAGUAGCGUGAAGGAUGACUGCCCUAUGGGUUGUAAACUUCUUUUAUAAGGGAAUAAAGUGGAGUAUGUAUACUCUUUUGUAUGUACCUUAUGAAUAAGGAUCGGCUAACUCCGUGCCAGCCGCCGCAGUAA